rnacentral:rRNA from 1 species
AUUGAACACUGGCGGCAGGCCUAACACAUGCAAGUCGAGCGGUAGAGAGGUGCUUGCAUCUCUUGAGAGCGGCGGACGGGUGAGUAAUGCCUAGGAAUCUGCCUAGUGGUGGGGGAUAACGUUCGGAAACGGACGCUAAUACCGCAUACGUCCUACGGGAGAAAGCGGGGGAUCUUCGGACCUCGCGCCAUUAGAUGAGCCUAGGUCGGAUUAGCUAGUUGGUGAGGUAAUGGCUCACCAAGGCGACGAUCCGUAACUGGUCUGAGAGGAUGAUCAGUCACACUGGAACUGAGACACGGUCCAGACUCCUACGGGAGGCAGCAGUGGGGAAUAUGGACAAUGGCGAAAGACUGAUCCAGCCAUGCCGCGUGUGUGAAGAAGGUACUUCGGA